rnacentral:lncRNA from 8 species
AUGCGGAACAACCGCAAGGUUUGUUGGGACCCGCGGGCCUGCCAUGAUUAUUUUAGUGCGAGGGAACGAUGCAUCACCAAACGAGGGCAUGGAUUUCCAACAACUCGUGGCCAGGCUGAUGACACAAGUAGCUCAACUAUUCCAACAACAAUAGCAGCAGAUACAGCACAGCACUCCUCCAGCGACUGCACCGGAAAGGGCCGUUUGUCGAGCAAGACAGAAUGAGCUAUCCAUAAGUUCAAUGUUUACUUUUACAACAUGCACAUUGGUGGUAGGUAAUGUUUAAUAUUUGAGUCCUGUUAAUUUGGUAAUGUAAUGAUGGUCUUUUCUGUUUUAAUAGUGGGCUGUAAGGUAUCUACACAUUAAUGCCGGCAAGCAGGACAAAUAUAAGCCGCACGAAAAGUGAGGCCAAAUUUGUUUUGGGGGGAAAAAGUCCAACCAAGAAAUCAGGGUUGGUUGUUGUUGUAUGAUGGUUCUUAGCAUUCUGAAAUAUGUUACAUGAAAUAGGUGUGCGAAUAUCAUGCAUAAAUGUAAUUUAAUGUUUGUUCUUCGUCAUGUCUCAGGAAGAACAGACCGCACAACACCCGCGUACUGGGUCUACUGGUCAGUCGACUGAGAUUACAGACACAGAGACACAGACGGAGAGUGAAGCAUGGCAGAUUUUGAAGGUGGUUAGGUACUGUUAGGUGUAGUACAGAUAAACAGGAGUCUCAUAAAAUGUCCUUGUCCAGUUGCAGGGAUCAGUUUGAAUGUAUGCUUUGUUAUUAAAAUAUAUAUUUUUUGCUCCAUGAAGUAAUCCAACAAUGUGUACACCACCAUCUUGUCUAUUUCUUCUCUCAUUGAUUGGGGCUGUGAGAAAGGGAGAGGUGAGGGGGGGCAGGAUGUAACAAUUGUGAGGUGUGAAUGUCAGGAUAACUUAAUGGCAUGUCUCUGGCUGGACACAUUGGCAGUCAGGAUCUCUCGUCUCCACCGAGUGUUGUUAACACCCCAUGGUUCCCCUUAUCCAACAGGUGGAGAAACCAAUUUUUGAGGGUUCAGAG